rnacentral:rRNA from 1 species
UACGUAGGUGGCAAGCGUUAUUCGGAAUUAUUGGGCGUAAAGGGCGCGUAGGCGGCUUUGCAAGUGGCGGGUGAAAUCCCUCGGCUUAACCGAGGAACUGCCUGCCAGACUGUGAGGCUUGAGACCGGGAGAGGUGAGUGGAAUUCCCAGUGUAGCGGUGAAAUGCGUAGAUAUCAGGAGGAACACCGGUGGCGAAGGCGGGUCUCUGGGCCGAAAUUGACGCUGAGGAGCGAAAGCGUGGGAGCAAACAGG